AUUGAACGCUGGCGGCAUGCCUUACACAUGCAAGUCGAACGGCAGCACGGGUGCUUGCACCUGGUGGCGAGUGGCGAACGGGUGAGUAAUAUAUCGGAACGUACCUUAUUGUGGGGGAUAACGCAGCGAAAGCUGUGCUGAUACCGCAUAAUCCCUAAGGGGGAAAGCGGGGGACCGUAAGGCCUCGCGCAAUUAGAGCGGACGAUACCUGAUUAGCUAGUUGGUGAGGUAAAGGCUCACCAAGGCAACGAUCAGUAGCUGGUCUGAGAGGACGAUCAGCCACACUGGGACUGAGACACGGCCCAGACUCCUACGGGAGGCAGCAGUGGGGAAUUUUGGACAAUGGGGGCAACCCUGAUCCAGCAAUGCCGCGUGAGUGAAGAAGGCCUUCGGGUUGUAAAGCUCUUUUGUCAGGGAAGAAACAGCAGCUCUAACACAGUAUGCGAAUGACGGUACCUGAAGAAUAAGCACCGGCUAACUACGUGCCAGCCGCCGCGGUAA
rnacentral:rRNA from 1 species